rnacentral:rRNA from 1 species
AGCGAACGCUGGCGGCAGGCCUAACACAUGCAAGUCGAACGAACCUUUCGGGGUUAGUGGCGGACGGGUGAGUAACCCGUGGGAACGUGCCCUUAGGUUCGGAAUAACUCAGGGAAACUUGUGCUAAUACCGAAUGUGCCCUUCGGGGGAAAGAUUAAUCGCCUUUAGAGCGGCCCGCGUCUGAUUAGCUAGUUGGUUGAGGUAAUGGCUCACCAAGGCGACGAUCAGUAGCUGGUCUGAGAGGAUGAUCAGCCACAUUGGGACUGAGACACGGCCCAAACUCCUACGGGAGGCAGCAGUGGGGAAUCUUGCGCAAUGGGCGAAAGCCUGACGCAGCCAUGCCGCGUGAAUGAUGAAGGUCUUAGGAUUGUAAAAUUCUUUCACCGGGGACGAUAAUGACGGUACCCGGAGAAGAAGCCCCGGCUAACUUCGUG